UUGGCUUUCUAACCCGCACCACUUAUCGUGGUGGGAGACAGUGUCAGGCGGGCAGUUUGACUGGGGCGGUCGCCUCAUAAAAGGUAACGGAGGCGCUCAAAGGUUCCCUCAGAAUGGUUGGAAAUCAUUCAUAGAGUGUAAAGGCAUAAGGGAGCUUGACUGCGAGACCUACAAGUCGAGCAGGGUCGAAAGACGGACUUAGUGAUCCGGUGGUUCCGCAUGGAAGGGCCAUCGCUCAACGGAUAAAAGCUACCCCGGGGAUAACAGGCUUAUCUCCCCCAAGAGUUCACAUCGACGGGGAGGUUUGGCACCUCGAUGUCGGCUCAUCGCAUCCUGGGGCUGUAGUCGGUCCCAAGGGUUGGGCUGUUCGCCCAUUAAAGCGGUACGCGAGCUGGGUUCAGAACGUCGUGAGACAGUUCGGUCCCUAUCCGUCGUGGGCGUAGGAAAUUUGAGAGGAGCUGUCCUUAGUACGAGAGGACCGGGAUGGACAUACCUCUGGUGUACCAGUUGUCGUGCCAACGGCAUAGCUGGGUAGCUAUGUGUGGACGGGAUAAGUGCUGAAAGCAUCUAAGCAUGAAGCCCCCCUCAAGAUGAGAUUUCCCAACUUCGGUUAUAAGAUCCCUCAAAGAUGAUGAGG
rnacentral:rRNA from 1 species